rnacentral:rRNA from 1 species
UACGAAGGGGGCUAGCGUUGCUCGGAAUCACUGGGCGUAAAGCGCACGUAGGCGGCUUUUUAAGUCAGAGGUGAAAUCCUGGAGCUCAACUCCAGAACUGCCUUUGAUACUGGAGAGCUUGAGUCCGGGAGAGGUGAGUGGAACUGCGAGUGUAGAGGUGAAAUUCGUAGAUAUUCGGAAGAACACCAGUGGCGAAGGCGACUCACUGGACACGUAUUGACGCUGAGGUGCGAAAGCGUGGGGAGCAAACAGG